GAUGAACGCUGGCGGCGUGCCUAAUACAUGCAAGUCGAGCGAACAGAUGAGGAGCUUGCUCCUCUGACGUUAGCGGCGGACGUGUGAGUAACACGUGGAUAACCUACCUAUAAGACUGGGAUAACUUCGGGAAACCGGAGCUAAUACCGGAUAAUAUAUUGAACCGCAUGGUUCAAUAGUGAAAGACGGUUUUGCUGUCACUUAUAGAUGGAUCCGCGCCGCAUUAGCUAGUUGGUAAGGUAACGGCUUACCAAGGCAACGAUGCGUAGCCGACCUGAGAGGGUGAUCGGCCACACUGGAACUGAGACACGGUCCAGACUCCUACGGGAGGCAGCAGUAGGGAAUCUUCCGCAAUGGGCGAGAGCCUGACGGAGCAACGCCGCGUGAGUGAUGAAGGUCUUCGGAUCGUAAAACUCUGUUAUUAGGGAAGAACAAAUGUGUAAGUAACUAUGCACGUCUUGACGGUACCUAAUCAGAAAGCCACGGCUAACUACGUG
rnacentral:rRNA from 1 species